UGGGGAAUAUUGCACAAUGGACGCAAGCCUGAUGCAGCCAUGCCGCGUGUAUGAAGAAGGCCUUCGGGUUGUAAAGUACUUUCAGCGGGGAGGAAGGCGAUAAGGUUAAUAACCUUGUCGAUUGACGUUACCCGCAGAAGAAGCACCGGCUACCUCCGUGCCAGCAGCCGCGGUAAUACGGAGGGUGCAAGCGUUAAUCGGAAUUACUGGGCGUAAAGCGCACGCAGGCGGUCUGUCAAGUCGGAUGUGAAAUCCCCGGGCUCAACCUGGGAACUGCAUUCGAAACUGGCAGGCUAGAGUCUUGUAGAGGGGGGUAGAAUUCCAGGUGUAGCGGUGAAAUGCGUAGAGAUCUGGAGGAAUACCGGUGGCGAAGGCGGCCCCCUGGACAAAGACUGACGCUCAGGUGCGAAAGCGUGGGGAGCAAACA
rnacentral:rRNA from 1 species